rnacentral:rRNA from 1 species
AUGAUUUGCCUCAUUUGGAACUGCCGGGGAGGGGGGAACACCCGGACAGUUCGCGAGCUUGCGGCGAUUUGUCGGUCGCGUUCCCCCACUUUUGUAUUUUUAUGUGAGACUAGACAGAAGGAAGAGAAGAUGAGGAGAGUUAGAAACAGAUUGGGUCUCAAAGGGUUUUGUGGUGUUGAUAGUGAUGGUAUGAGUGGUGGCUUGGCAUUAUAUUGGCAUGAGAAUUAUGUCGUGGAGAUCUUGAAUAAAGAUGAGAGACACAUUGAUGCACUUAUCCGGGUGCAGGAAGAAGCAGUACAAUGGCGAGCUACAUUUGUCUAUGGAGAACCUCGAGUUGAGAACAGACAUAUCAUGUGGGCAAAACUACAGAAUUUGAAAACUGUAAGCAACCUCCCAUGGUUAGUUUUGGGUGAUUUCAAUGAGGCAAUGUGGAACUUUGAGCAUAUCUCAGCGACACCGAGGGCAGAGUCGCAAAUGGUGGCCUUUCGGGAUACCUUGGAAAUUUGUGAGCUGGUGGAUUUGGGCUUCACGGGAGUACCCUUCUCUUAUGACAACAAGAGGAGUGGUUCUGCUAACGUUAAGGUACGCCUGGAUAGAGCCGUGGCGACGAAUGCAUGGUGUAACUUGUUUGCGUUUGCUGAAGUCGAACACAUACCAUCGCCUUGCUCCAAUCAUGUGAUGCUUCUGUUGAAGGGCGAGGCUGACCCAGGACCUGUAGGGAGGAAGUGCAGGCGAUAUGAGAUUUUCUGGGAAAGAGAUUCGGCACUCCCAUAG